GGGUCCGCAUUUUCUUCUUUCUCCCAACCCUUUGUGACCUUACCUAUCGUUGCUUCGGCGGGAUCGCCCCGGGCCGCCCCUCGCGGGGCCUCCGGACCACGGCGCCCGCCGGAGGACCCAAACUCUUUGUUUUCAUGGUUUUCUCCUCUGAGUGGAUUAUAAACAAAUAAAUCAAAACUUUCAACAACGGAUCUCUUGGUUCUGGCAUCGAUGAAGAACGCAGCGAAAUGCGAUAAGUAAUGUGAAUUGCAGAAUUCAGUGAAUCAUCGAAUCUUUGAACGCACAUUGCGCCCGCCAGUAUUCUGGCGGGCAUGCCUGUUCGAGCGUCAUUUCAACCCUCAGGCCCCCAGUGCCUGGCGUUGGAGAUCGGCCGUACGGCCGCGGCCCCCGCUGGGGGUUCGCGCGCCGGGCCGGCUCCGAAAUCUAGUGGCGGUCUCGCUGUAGUCCUCCUCUGCGUAGUAGCACAACCUCGCAGUUGGAACGCGGCGGUGGCCAUGCCGUUAAACACCCCACUUCUGAAAGUUGACCUCGGAUCAGGUAGGAAUACCCGCUGAACUUAAGCAUAUCAAUAAGCGGAGGAA
rnacentral:rRNA from 1 species